rnacentral:rRNA from 1 species
GACGAACGCUGGCGGCGUGCUUAACACAUGCAAGUCGAACGGAGUGGCGAACGGGUGAGUAACACGUGGGUGACCUGCCCUGCACUUCGGGAUAAGCCUGGGGAACUGGGUCUAAUACCGGAUAGUGUGGGAUGGGCCCGGGGCCUAUCAGCUUGUUGGUGGGGUAAUGGCCUACCAAGGCGGCGACGGGUAGCCGGCCUGGGAGGGUGGACGGCCACAUUGGGACUGGGACGCGGCCCGGACGCCUACGGGAGGCAGCAGGGGGGAAUAGUGCGAGAUGGGCGGAAGCCUGAUGGAGCGUCGCCGCGUGGGGGAUGACGGCCUUCGGGUUGUAAACUCCUUUCACCAUCGACGCGGUAGAUGGAGAAGAAGCACCGGCUAACUACGUGCCAGCAGCCGCGGUAAUUC